GACAGAGGGUGCAAACGUUGCUCGGAAUCACUGGGCGUAAAGGGCGUGUAGGCGGGAGGGAUAGUCAGAUGUGAAAUCCCUGGGCUCAACCCGGGAACUGCGUCCGAUACUGGUUGGCUUGAAUCCGGGAGAGGGACGUGGAAUUCCAGGUGUAGCGGUGAAAUGCGUAGAUAUCUGGAGGAACACCGGUGGCGAAGGCGACGUCCUGGACCGGCAUUGACGCUGAGGCGCGAAAGCCAGGGGAGCAAACGGG
rnacentral:rRNA from 1 species